CCUANGGGCGGCAGCAGUGGGGAAUUUUGGACAAUGGGCGAAAGCCUGAUCCAGCAAUGCCGCGUGCAGGAUGAAGGCCUUCGGGUUGUAAACUGCUUUUGUACGGAACGAAACGGUCUGCCCUAAUACGGUGGGCUAAUGACGGUACCGUAAGAAUAAGCACCGGCUAACUACGUGCCAGCAGCCGCGGUAAUACGUAGGGUGCGAGCGUUAAUCGGAAUUACUGGGCGUAAAGCGUGCGCAGGCGGUUAUAUAAGACAGAUGUGAAAUCCCCGGGCUCAACCUGGGACCUGCAUUUGUGACUGUAUAGCUAGAGUACGGUAGAGGGGGAUGGAAUUCCGCGUGUAGCAGUGAAAUGCGUAGAUAUGCGGAGGAACACCGAUGGCGAAGGCAAUCCCCUGGACCUGUACUGACGCUCAUGCACGAAAGCGUGGGGAGCAAACAGGAUUAGAUACCCGGNUANUC
rnacentral:rRNA from 1 species